rnacentral:rRNA from 1 species
UGGGGAAUUUUGGACAAUGGGCGAAAGCCUGAUCCAGCAAUGCCGCGUGUGUGAAGAAGGCCUUCGGGUUGUAAAGCACUUUUGUCCGGAAAGAAAUCCUUGGCUCUAAUACAGUCGGGGGAUGACGGUACCGGAAGAAUAAGCACCGGCUAACUACGUGCCAGCAGCCGCGGUAAUACGUAGGGUGCAAGCGUUAAUCGGAAUUACUGGGCGUAAAGCGUGCGCAGGCGGUUUGCUAAGACCGAUGUGAAAUCCCCGGGCUCAACCCGGGAACUGCAUUGGUGACUGGCAGGCUAGAGUAUGGCAGAGGGGGGUAGAAUUCCACGUGUAGCAGUGAAAUGCGUAGAGAUGUGGAGGAAUACCGAUGGCGAAGGCAGCCCCCUGGGCCAAUACUGACGCUCAUGCACGAAAGCGUGGGGAGCAAACAGGAUUAGAUACCCUGGUAGUCCACGCCCUAAACGAUGUCAACUAGUUGUUGGGGAUUCAUUU